rnacentral:rRNA from 1 species
GACGAACGCUGGCGGCGUGCUUAACACAUGCAAGUCGAGCGGUAAGGCCCUUUCGGGGGUACACGAGCGGCGAACGGGUGAGUAACACGUGGGUGACCUGCCCUCAGCUCUGGGAUAAGCCUGGGAAACCGGGUCUAAUACCGGAUAUGACUCCAUGACGCAUGUUGUGGGGUGAAAGCCUUGUGCGGCUGAGGAUGGGCCCGCGGCCUAUCAGCUUGUUGGUGGGGUGAUGGCCUA